rnacentral:rRNA from 1 species
AGCGAACGCUGGCGGCAGGCUUAACACAUGCAAGUCGAGCGGGCAUCUUCGGAUGUCAGCGGCAGACGGGUGAGUAACACGUGGGAACGUACCCUUCGGUUCGGAACAACUCUGGGAAACUGGAGCUAAUACCGGAUACGCCCUUAUGGGGAAAGGUUUACUGCCGAAGGAUCGGCCCGCGUCUGAUUAGCUAGUUGGUGGGGUAACGGCCUACCAAGGCGACGAUCAGUAGCUGGUCUGAGAGGAUGAUCAGCCACACUGGGACUGAGACACGGCCCAGACUCCUACGGGAGGCAGCAGUGGGGAAUAUUGGACAAUGGGCGCAAGCCUGAUCCAGCCAUGCCGCGUGAGUGAUGAAGGCCUUAGGGUUGUAAAGCUCUUUUGUCCGGGACGAUAAUGACGGUACCGGAAGAAUAAGCACCGGCUAACUUCGUG